rnacentral:rRNA from 1 species
UACGUAGGGUGCAAGCGUUGUCCGGAAUUAUUGGGCGUAAAGAGCUUGUAGGUGGUUUGUCGCGUCUGCUGUGAAAAUCCGAGGCUCAACCUCGGACUUGCAGUGGGUACGGGCAGACUAGAGUGUGGGUAGGGGGAGACUGGAAUUCCUGGUGUAGCGGUGGAAUGCGCAGAUAUCAGGAGGAACACCGUAUGGCGAAGGCAGGUCUCUGGGCCGAUGACUGACGUGAGGAGCGAAAGCGUGGGGAGCAACAGG